rnacentral:misc_RNA from 1 species
GAUGAAGAACGUAGCGAAAUGCGAUACUUGGUGUGAAUUGCAGAAUCCCGUGAACCAUCGAGUCUUUGAACGCAAGUUGCGCCCGAAGCCACUAGGCCGAGGGCACGCCUGCCUGGGCGUCACACGUCGUUGCCCCCCCAUCUACUCCUUCGGGAUUGCGGGGGGGCGGAUGAUGGCCUCCCGUGCGCCUAGCCGCGCGGUUGGCAUAAAUACCAAGUCCUCGGCGACGCACGCCACGACAAUCGGUGGUUGCGAAACCUCGGUUGCCCGUCGUGUGCGUUCGUCGCGCAUCGAGGGCUCGAAAAAAUGCUCGGCUUCGGCUCCGCUUUCAACGCGACCCCAGGUCAGGCGGGGUUACCCGCUGAAUUUAAGCAUAUCAAUAAGCGGAGGA